AAGGAGUGGUACCAAACCAAUGACACAAUAAAUUCUUUAUAACACCACAAACAAUGAAAAGACAUCAUAACCCUUCUCAAACCAUUUUCACCACUAUAUAUAUAGGUUAGAGAUGCGUAGAAAAGGAAACAAAUAAUAAGUGUGUAUUAGGGUAGACAGAGAAGGGGAAAAAAAACACAGGUCUGUGGUCAACAACAUGGAUAUGGAGUACCCUUUGGGGUUUCAUUUUGUAGCACCUCAGGCUAUUAACGAAGAACAUGAAUGUAUUUUUCACGAAUUUUUAGCCAGUGUGAAUCAAGAUGGAAGAUUACACAAAAUCAACUGCUUGGCUUUAGUUUUCAAGAGUGCUACCCCCCUCGAUGUACAAGAAUCUUCUACUGGUCUACACACAAAGGUCAACCAUUCUGCAACCAAUAUAUCGAACUAUGAGUGAGGGACCAUCGAAUGCACUAAGGUUUAGGUCAACAGUGGAAGUGGAUGGAGCGACCUAUACCUCUCCAAAUACUUUUUUACAAAAAAGCAGCCGAACAAGACAUUUCCAAAGUUGCAUUGGAACACGUAGCAAAGAAGAUAAGGGAUGAAGGAUGUCCUCUCGUUUAUGAUAUUUGUUACAUCAUGAUUGUAAACUUGUAAUAUAUUUUAUCUUUUUGCAAAGGAUAGGAGAUUAUCUUUUUUAGAUUGAAAGAAGCCUAGAUUGUGAGGCUAAAAGAUGCUUGUAUGUGUGAAAGAUUAUCUUCAUCUGUAAAGCUGAUCUUUUCAUUUCUAUUACAAUAAAGAUUUGGUGACUUUAAGUCUUUAGAACAUAAAUAUGUAGGUUGCAUAUUUUCUAGGUAGAUUAAUCUUGACCAUCAGUAAUUUAAUUUAGAUGAUAAAUAUUCAAGCUAGAUCAUUUCUUUGAAUACAAACACAGUCACAGACCCUUUGAGCUCAUUACUUUUGUGUAAGAUAGAUAAUGGCUUCUUCGUUUUCUCAACCCAUGAAAAUGAUGGAAAUGAGAUCAAAUGCCUCUCCUCCUCAGUCUCAACUCUCAAUUCCGCUUCAACCUCAGCCUCAGCCUUAGCCUCCCUCUACUUCUACUGCUAUUGUGGAGACGUAUUCUCUAAAACUUGUGUGGAUGGAAUUUGUUUUGGCCUUUUAGACCCCUCGACAAUGUACAAGAUCCUUCUAUUGGUCUACACACAAAGCUCAACUAUUCUGCAACCAAUAUAUCGAACUAUGAGUGAGGGACCAUCAAAUGCACUAAGGUUUAGGUCAACGGUGGAAGUGGACGGAGCAACCUAUAUCUCUCCAAACACUUUUUUACGAAAAAAAGCAGCCGAACAAGACGUUGCCAAAGUUGCACUAGAACACAUAUCAAAGAGGAUAAAGGAUGAAUGAUGUCCUCUCGUUUAUGAGACCCCCCCUCAAUGUACAAGAACCUUCUACUAGUCUACACACAAAGGUCAUCCAUUCUGCAGCCAAUAUAUCAAACUAUGAGUGGGGGACCAUCGAAUGCACUAAGGUUUAGGUCAACAGUGGAAGUGGAUGGAGUGACCUAUACCUCUCCAAACGCUUUUUUACAAAAAAAAAAAAAGCAGCUGAAUAAGA